rnacentral:rRNA from 1 species
ACCCAGCACGAGUGAUGUCGUGCUACCCGCAUCUGAAUAUAUAGGGUGCGGGAGGGAACGCGGGGAAGUGAAACAUCUCAGUACCCGUAGGAGGAGAAAACAAUUGUGAUUCCGCAAGUAGUGGCGAGCGAACGCGGAACAGGCUAAACCGCACGCAUGGGUAACCGGGUAGGGGUUGUGUGUGCGGGGUUGUGGGAGGAUAUGUCUCAGCGCUACCCGGCUGAGAGGCAGUCAGAAAGUGUCGUGGUUAGCGGAAGUGGCCUGGGAUGGUCUGCCGUAGACGGUGAGAGCCCGGUACGCGAAAACCCGGCACCUGCCUAGUAUCAAUUCCCGAGUAGCAGCGGGCCCGUGGAAUCCGCUGUGAAUCCGCCGGGACCACCCGGUAAGCCUA